rfam:Acetothermia bacterium 64_32 S_OP1_64_33_7, whole genome shotgun sequence.
CUGAAAAAGGGCAAAGCCGUCGUGAGGCGGUGACGCAAAGCCGCGGGCCUCUUGCUGAGGCCGCCGGGUUGCCAGAG